rnacentral:lncRNA from 1 species
UAGGAUUUAGGGUUUAGGGUUUGGUUUAGGAUUUAGAAUUUGGUUUAGGAUUUAAGAUUUGGUUAGGAUUUGAUUUAGGACUUAGGAUUUGAGUAGGAUUUGAUUUAGGAUUUGGGCUUGGUUAGGAUUUGAUUUAGGAUUAGGAUUUGAUUAGGAUUUGAUUUAGGAUUAGGAUUUGAUUAGGAUUCGAUUUAUGAUUUAGGAUUUUAUUAGGAUUUAUUUAGGGUUUAAGAUUUAGUUAGUUUUUGGCCUCAAAUUUGAAUGAAGUUUAAUAGGAUUUUAACUAAGAUUAAAUUAAGAUUGAAUUGAGAUGUAUUUAAGAUAUAUUUGUGAUCAUUCUAAUAUUUCUUUAAGAUUUCUUAUUAUUUCUUUGUAAUUCCUUUGAAGUUUCUUUGAAUUUGAUUAAAGCUUGCUUAGCAUUGUUAUGGUUUAAUUAAAGUUUAGUUAGUAUUCUAUUAGAGUUAAGAUUUUGUUAUUACAAUUUUUAUUCUACCUUCCACAGCCAGGUAUCCAAAGCAUUCUCAAGCAAGACUUCACACAUUACAAUAUAUUUGGUAAACCCGACAUAAAACAUUUGAGAUAGAAGGAAUUUGGUUUUCUUGGAUUAUUUGAAUUUUGGAGAAGGAAGGCAAGAAGAUGGAAGGAGGAAUUUUUGAUAGUGCUUCAAGUGGAG